rnacentral:lncRNA from 1 species
AGCGUAACGUGAUACGCCGUAACUCGCGAAUAGCACGAGCUACAAUUCUAAGCAAAUGGAAUUAAAAAACAGAAAAUUUAAAGGAAAUAAGAAAUAUGAAACAAGGAACAAUGAAAUGUCCGUACACGACUGCCUUGCGCGCACUCGCCCCACCACAAUAUAGAGUACAAUAAGCAGUGCUUCUCACACAUCUGCAGUGACAAACAACUGCGCCAAAUGAUCAAGUAUCGGCAUCAACAAAGGUAACCACGUGUUUAGCAGAGUACGACCUAUCAUCAGCAGAAACUAAUACUGCAAGAAGAAUGCAACAAGGACUUCUAAAAAAAGGAAAAUUUCAAUAAUACUUUCACAAAAACCACAUCAGCUGAAACCUUAAUACUUCUGGAAGGACACUAGCAAAACCAAAGAUUGCAGCGUCCACAGAAGUAAUUGUAUACCAAAACUCCGCGCUAUUAUGAAAUAAUCCGUCACGUGACAAUUAUACCAUGAUAGUCUUAGUAUAAAUUUCCGUUACACAUUGUCCGUUACACAUUGUAAUGCUGUGUCGUUUAUGCGUAAUUCGCGUCAAACUCUGCCGUAGAGAGAAACAGUACUGCACAAAAUUCAACCGUACCUAAGAGGUUAAUUGUGAAUUGUGAUUAAUACAAUUAGUCUUGCAACAACUAUACUAACUCGACUAAUUCGUAAUCGACUAUACAUAUAAGCAAGUUCGACUUGAGACACUAUAGGACGUCUAGGUAUACUAGGAGACCUACAUCUUGGUGGUGUUGAACAUGAUUCAACCAAUUCUUCACUAUCGAUAUUACGUGGUACCAGGGCACCUACUAAUAAUCUUUCAGUAGAUCCAUCAUCAAUACCUCUGCCAAGCCAUCUACCACAAGGGAAUUUAAAUGUGUGCCCUGUAACUUCAUUUCUCACCACAACAUGUUCUACCAUCCAUUUUGGCGAAAGACCUGUAUUGUCAUGUCCUAUACGUAAUGUAGAGAGCACGCCCAAAUUCUUAUGCUAAAAUAAAAGUUAUAAAAUUAUG